CAAUAGCGUAUAUUUAAGUUGCUGCAGUUAAAAAGCUCGUAGUUGGAUUUCGGGUGGGAAUGGCCGGUCCGCCGUUUCGGUGUGCACUUGCUACGCCCACCUUGCUGCCGGGGACGUGCUCUUGAGUUCACGCUCGGGACACGGAGUCGGCGAGGUUACUUUGAGUAAAUUAGAGUGUUCAAAGCAGGCCUACGCUCUGAAUACAUUAGCAUGGAAUAACACGAUAGGACUCUGGCCUAUCUUGUUGGUCUGUAGGACCGGAGUAAUGAUUAAGAGGGACAGUCGGGGGCAUUCGUAUUUCAUUGUCAGAGGUGAAAUUCUUGGAUUUAUGACAGACGAACUACUGCGAAAGCAUUUGCCAAGGAUGUUUUCAUUAA
rnacentral:rRNA from 1 species